rnacentral:rRNA from 1 species
UUUAAUUGAAGAGUUUGAUCAUGGCUCAGAUUGAACGCUGGCGGCAGGCUUAACACAUGCAAGUCGAGCGGUAGCACAAGAGAGCUUGCUCUCUGGGUGACGAGCGGCGGAC